rnacentral:lncRNA from 7 species
GUCCUGGAGACGUUCGUCCGCAGCGUGACGCGAGAUGGCCGGACCCGCCCUGCUCCAGCGAGGAAUUGACACCCGAUGGCCCGAAUCCGCUCCAAAUACCGGUAUGAACCCGCUUUGUGCGCAACGGCGAACCCCGACAGCUGGACACAGGGUCGCAAUUACGGCGAACUCCUGAGCACGGCGACGACGGCGCUAAUAUUCAGCUCCUCACCAACUCUCUAUGCAACACUACGACCAAGACGAGGGGAAGGGGGAGAAAAGAACGGCGAGCUGGUUCUUAUGCACGAGGCCGGGUCUCCCGAGCGAUCCGUUGGGAAGGUGCGGAAGUGGUUGAGGGAGGUCUGGCUUCUCCGGUGAAGGAGACAGCUCGCGUUGUCGUGGUGAGGUAGCGAGGAACUG